AGAAAAAAAAAACCUCCGAGACCUCCCACGCGAGCUCACCGCGGCCUCCUCGACCUCAACUGGUCGCUCCCCGCCGGCGCCGCCGACUCCCGCAUCCCGGCCUUCUCCGAUCCGGAACGCCCGCCCUAGCCCCGGCAACCACCUUCCUCUCAUCAGGCAGCAGAGCGCCAAGUGCUGGCUCCCCUCCUCCACCCCGACGCCCCCGCCUCCGCCGUGUAAGGUCAUCACGGACUGGAGCGAUUCUGACGCCGUCUUCGUUCGUGCCCGUCUUCGCCGCCAAGAUGGAGCUCCGAUGCCGCUGGGGCGCCACCAGAUGCAACAUUUCGCAGGAAGGAGGGCCACGGCGGCUGCCGCCGGUUAGCGAGAGGUCGUCGCUCGCGUCACCACACCGCCCACCCGGCGUGGCGCCGGUCCGGCGGCCGCGACCACAUCUUCGUGUACGACGCCCUCCUCGUCGAAUGCUUCCUCGAUACCCUUCACCUCCGCGAAUUUAGUGCUAUGAUGAAAUACUAGACCGAUUGUGACGAGACGGGGAUAGCCAAGCUCGGCAGCAAGCUCACCAGUCUUUCCCCACUACGCCCUCUUGCUCUCUCGUCCAAGGUCAGAUUGAUUAACAAGUUUCCGGGAUUUUAAGAUGAUUAGUACUACUUGAGAACGAUAGUUGAUUGUUCAGAUCGAAUUUCCAAUCAGUUUUCCCUUCCAAGUGAAAUGAAAUAUGCAGCAAAAUUAGAUGGUGUGUGUGACAUGCAUCAGGUGCCCUUGCGAUCGCUGUGGCCAACCCCACUGACCUUGUCAAACUCAGGCCUCAGUCCGAGGGGAAGCUGGCACCUGGUUUGCCACACCGUUGCACGGACAAUGCAUGCUUAUGUGAAGAUUGUUAGGCAGGAAGGGGUUGCUGCUUUGUGCGGACUGACGUUGGUCUGAAUGUUGGACAUGAGGCCAUCAUAAACGCUUCUGAGUUGUUCAGUUAUGAUCAAGUGAAGCAGUCAUUAUCAAACUUCCUGGGUUCAAAGACGACGUCGUCACUCAUAUCUUCGCUGGUUUGGGUGCUCAAUUCUUUGCUGUUCAUGUUGGUUCUCCGGUCGACGUGGUGAGAUGUCCUCCUCGCUCAGUGGCCAAUUAUCCAUACUCUAUCUAGUCUAAAGUAUUAUUUCGUAUACAAUCAACUCGAACUAAUUAUGGUGAGCAAUGCUUUUUUGGUGUAUUUAUCUACUAGAUAUUC